rnacentral:rRNA from 1 species
CUUGUUCUUUAAAUGGGGACUCGUAUCAACGGCACUACGAGGGCUAUACUGUCUCCUUUUUCUAAUCAGUGAAACUGAUCUCCCCGUGAAGAAGCGGGGAUUAAAAUAUAAGACGAGAAGACCCCAUGGAGCUUUAAACUCACCAUGCACCUCUGUGCCCCCCAUAUCCUUAAACACAACGGACCUGCAUGCUAGUUUUAGGUUGGGGUGACCGCGGAGUACAACUUAACCUCCACAGCAAAUGGGCUAAUACCCUUAUCCACGAGACACAACUCUAAGAAUUAUUAUACUAAUGCUUAUUGACCCGAUAUUCGAUCAAUGAACCAAGUUACCCUGGGGAUAACAGCGCAAUCUACUUCAAGAGCCCAUAUCGACAAGUAG